AGUCGAGCGAUGAAGUUUCUUCGGAAAUGGAUUAGCGGCGAACGGGUGAGGAACACGUGAAGAAUCUGCCCUCCACUUUGGGAUAACACCGGGAAACCGGUGCUAAUACCGAAUAUUGAAACAUAAGUGGCAUCACUGAGUUUUGAAAGAAUUUCGGUGGAGGAUGACUUCGCGGCCUAUCAGCUAGUUGGUGAGGUAAUGGCUCACCAAGGCAACGACGGGUAGCCGGCCUGAGAGGGCGACCGGCCACACUGGGACUGAGACACGGCCCAGACUCCUACGGGAGGCAGCAGUGGGGAAUAUUGGGCAAUGGAGGAAACUCUGACCCAGCGACGCCGCGUGCGGGAUGAAGGCCUUCGGGUUGUAAACCGCUUUCAGUAGGGAAGAAGCGAAAGUGACGGUACCUACAAAAGAAGCACCGGCUAACUAUGUGCCAGCAGCCGCGGUAAUACAUAGGGUGCAAGCGUUGUCCGGAAUUAUUGGGCGUAAAGAGCUCGUAGGUCGUUUGUUACGUCGGAUGUGAAAACCUGAGGCUCAACCUCAGGCCUGCAUUCGAUACGGGCAAACUAGAGUUUGGUAGGGGAGACUGGAAUUCCUGGUGUAGCGGUGGAAUGCGCAGAUAUCAGGAGGAACACCAAUGGCGAAGGCAGGUCUCUGGGCCAAUACUGACACUGAGGAGCGAAAGUCUGGGGAGCGAACAGGAUUAGAUACCCUGGUAGUCCAGACCGUAAACGGUGGGCACUAGUUGUGGGAACUUCCCAGGGUUCUGCGACGCAGCUAACGCAUUAAGUGCCCCGCCUGGGGAGUACGAUCCCAAGAUUAAAACUCA
rnacentral:rRNA from 1 species